UACGUAGGGUGCAAGCGUUGUCCGGAAUUAUUGGGCGUAAAGAGCUCGUAGGCGGUUUGUCGCGUCUGCUGUGAAAACGCGAGGCUCAACCUCGCGCCUGCAGUGGGUACGGGCAGACUAGAGUGCGGUAGGGGAGAUUGGAAUUCCUGGUGUAGCGGUGGAAUGCGCAGAUAUCAGGAGGAACACCGAUGGCGAAGGCAGUAGACUGGGCAUCUCCUGACGCUGAGGCGCGAAAGCGUGGGUAGCAAACAGG
rnacentral:rRNA from 1 species